rnacentral:sRNA from 1 species
GCGCAGACGGGGAAGCGGAGCCAACAUGCCAGUGGCCCGGAGCUGGGUUUGUCGCAAAACUUAUGUGACCCCGCGGAGACCCUUCGAGAAAUCUCGUCUCGACCAAGAGCUGAAGCUGAUCGGCGAGUAUGGGCUCCGGAACAAACGUGAGGUCUGGAGGGUCAAAUUUACCCUGGCCAAGAUCCGCAAGGCCGCUCGGGAACUGCUGACGCUUGAUGAGAAGGACCCACGGCGUCUGUUCGAAGGUGCGUAUGGGAGUCCACAGCAGAGGGAUGGGGUGCAGGGCUUGUGAGGUUCAUUCUCCCUUCUGUUGCCUCUGUUCCAGUGAUGAGAGUUGUGUCAUUGGAUAAAUGGAGCCAGCCUUUUAACUUUUAGUGGCACUUGUGGAGUAGGAAAAGUGUAUCUGGAUCAGUCUUUGCCCUGUUUCUUAGGUGUGUGGCUUUUUUGCCCAGUUACUGGACCUUCAGUUUAGUAAUGACCAGAGAUAAAGAUAGGCCUGGCACACCUGGGCACCCGUCUAUAUCUUUAUAUGAUGUCUCAAAACAAUUCUGUUUAUGUGGCCUGUUUGCUAGUGGAUGAGAGUAGACUAUGAAGUGGAAUUUCUGGGCUAAGUUAUGGUGAUAACAGGGUUUGCACAUUUGCUUGGUUUGUUGUUUUUUU